UACGAAGGGUGCAAGCGUUACUCGGAAUUACUGGGCGUAAAGCGUGCGUAGGUGGUUCGUUAAGUCUGAUGUGAAAGCCCUGGGCUCAACCUGGGAAUGGCAUUGGAAACUGGCGACCUAGAGUGCGGUAGAGGGUAGUGGAAUUCCCGGUGUAGCAGUGAAAUGCGUAGAUAUCUGGAGGAACACCGGUGGCGAAGGCGGCAUCCUGGACCGGUAUUGACGCUGAGGCGCGAAAGCUAGGGGAGCAAACGGG
rnacentral:rRNA from 1 species